UCCGUUUCCCUCUAGUUUUUGACCGUUGUGCUCCUCGUUUCAUUCUAUUGCAGGUUAGCCGAAGAGAAGCUCUGACCGCAAGAUAGGAACGGUGGAGCCGCCGCAUUGGAAAACCUUUUCGCUAGUAGGGUCUCAGAUUUCCCUUUUUCCAGUCGAUAGAGGCUCCCUAACCCUUUUUUUUUUAAGGUUUCCAUGAAAAACUGGCCAAAAC
rnacentral:lncRNA from 1 species